GCCAGUGAAGUGCUGCGAGGUGUGCUCAAUAAGGCACUGGAUUGGUCAGUUGAGUUUUCUUAGCGAAACUGGCCAUUCCAUUGUCUGGCCGAGCGGACCAAUGUUGUGCAGCUCAUGUA
rnacentral:precursor_RNA from 9 species